CAUAAUGACUCUAGGCAACAGGUAUCUCGGCUCUCGCAUCGAUGAAGAACGUAGCGAAAAUGCGAGACUUGGUGUAAUUGCAGAUACCAUGGAACCAUAGAGUCUUUGGAAUGCAAGUUGCGCACGAGGCCCCUUCGGACGAGGGCACGCCUGCCUGGGUGUCAUGCA
rnacentral:rRNA from 1 species